rnacentral:rRNA from 1 species
GUGGGGAAUCUUGCGCAAUGGGCGAAAGCCUGACGCAGCCAUGCCGCGUGAAUGAUGAAGGUCUUAGGAUUGUUAAAUUCUUUCACCGGGGACGAUAAUGACGGAACCCGGAGAAGAAGCCCCGGCUAACUUCGUGCCAGCAGCCGCGGUAAUACGAAGGGGGCUAGCGUUGCUCGGAAUUACUGGGCGUAAAGGGCGCGUAGGCGGACAGUUUAGUCAGAGGUGAAAGCCCAGGGCUCAACCUUGGAAUUGCCUUUGAUACUGGCUGUCUUGAGUACGGGAGAGGUGAGUGGAACUCCGAGUGUAGAGGUGAAAUUCGUAGAUAGUCGGAAGAACACCAGUGGCGAAGGCGACUCACUGGCCCGUUACUGACGCUGAGGCGCGAAAGCGUGGGGAGCAAACAGGAUUAGAUACCCGUGUAGUCC